AAUGCGUUCCCGGGCCUUGUACACACCGCCCGUCACACCACGAAAGUCGGCAACACCCGAAGCCGGUGGCCCAACCCUUUUGGGGGGGAGCCGUCGAAGGUGGGGUUGGCGAUUGGGGUG
rnacentral:rRNA from 1 species